UUCACAACACAUCUUCAUUCACACAGAGCAAAGUUGACAAAAGAAAACACAGUUCUCAAAUGGCAAAUUCGCUCGCUAUUCUUCUUCAGUUUCUUCCUUUCUUUCUUGUAUUUAACCAUGCAAGUUCGGAGUCGUUCAUCGGCGUGAACUAUGGGCAAGUCGCCGACAACCUGCCGCCGCCUUCGGCGACGGCGAAGCUGCUCCAAUCGACGGCGAUAGGGAAAGUGCGGUUGUACGGAACCGACCCGGCGAUCAUAAAAGCGCUGGCGAACACGGGAAUAGGAAUCGUGAUCGGCGCGGCGAACGGCGACAUACCGGGCCUGGCGUCGGACCCGAACUUCGCGAAAACGUGGGUGAACACCAACGUGGUGCCGUACUAUCCCGCGAGCAACAUCAUCCUCGUGACUGUUGGCAACGAAGUGAUAACCUCGAACGACGCGGGCCUCGUGAACCAGAUGCUGCCGGCGAUCCAGAACGUGCAGGGCGCGCUGGAGGCGGCCUCUCUCGGCGGCAAGAUCAAGGUGUCGACGGUGCACUCGAUGGCGGUUCUGAGGGACUCGGAGCCUCCCUCCGCCGGAAGGUUCCACCCUGAGUACGACACCGUUUUGCAGGGGCUGUUGUCGUUUAACAAUGCCACGGGCUCGCCCUUCGCCAUCAACCCUUAUCCCUACUUCGCCUACAGAAGCGACCCUGGCAGAGCCGAUAACCUUGCUUUCUGCCUCUUUCAGCCUAACGCCGGCCGAAUUGACUCUAACACCAACAUCAAGUACAUGAACAUGUUCGAUGCUCAGGUGGAUGCGGUUCGAUCAGCGUUGGAUUCUCUGGGGUUUAAGAAUGUUGAGAUUGUGGUUGCAGAGACAGGAUGGCCCUACAAGGGAGACAGCAAUGAAGCUGGUCCAAGUCUUGAGAAUGCUAAGGCUUAUAAUGGUAAUCUCAUUGCACACCUUCGAUCUAUGGUUGGGACUCCAUUGAUGCCUGGAAAAUCAGUGGACACGUACCUGUUUGCUCUGUAUGAUGAAGACUUGAAGCCCGGUGCUGCUUCUGAGAGAGCCUUUGGACUCUUCAACCCUGAUCAAACCAUGAUCUAUGAUGCAGGCCUCACCAAACAGCAACAAACCAGUAGCCCCGUGCCAGUAGUUGCUCCGACUCCGGAUGUGUCAAAACCUCCAGUGAUACCAGCGCCAACAGACCCGGGUCAGACACAAAAAUCUCCGGUGAUUCCAGCGCCAGUAGGCCCGGGUCCAACACCAAAUAGUGCAGAAUUCUUGAGUGGACAUGAAGCCACCAUUUUGCAGUCUUUAAUAAUGUUCACAGUUCUCAUCUUAAUGUUGUUCUAGCUUGUGGUAUUUAAUAUAAUAUGUUUCUUAAUUUCAUUGAAGACCACUCCGGAUGUGUCAAAAUCUCCCAUGACUCCAAAGCCAACAACAGUUCCAAGUCCAACCAAAACAAAUAGUAGUGCAACCUGGUGUGUGCCGAAAGCAGGAGUGUCAGAGGAACAGUUGCAAGCAAAUUUGGACUAUGCUUGUGGGCAGGGGAUUGAUUGUGCUGCAAUUCAACAAGGAGGUGCUUGUUUUGAACCUAACACUUUACUAAACCAUGCUGCAUAUGCCAUGAAUCUAUUGUAUCAAACUGCUGGACGGAAUCCAUUGAGUUGUGAUUUCUCGCAAACAGCCAUGUUAUCAACAAAUAAUCCAAGUUACAAGAGUUGUCUUUAUGCCGGUGGAAAUGCCUAACCAAAAUAACAAGAAAGUAGAUAAAGGAGGGCACUUUUUGUUGUUUAAAUUAUUCUGUCUUAAUUGCCAAGAAUUCUCCCUGGUUGGUUCUUUGAGUGCUGUGUAGUAAUAAUAGGAGAGUGUGCAUGUAUGAGGAGGAUCCUCCUCUAUUUAUAGUGUCACAUUUUUUAAUGUCAUUAUCGGAAGCAAAUUGAUGCUUUGUUAAUGUGGGAACUGUGAAGUGUGGAUUAUAUGUUUGUUUUCAUUUGAAACAUCGGGGUCCAUUGUGUAUAUACUGACUUAGUAAUAUGUUUGUUUCCCUCACUUAA